AGAAUCAACGCUGGCGGCGUGCCUCAGACAUGCAAGUCGAACGCGAAAGUUUCCUUCGGGAAGCGAGUAGAGUGGCGCACGGGUGAGUAACACGUAGGUAAUCUACCUUUGGGUGGGGAAUAACAGCCGGAAACGGCUGCUAAUACCGCAUAAUGCAGCGGCUCGACAUCGAGACAAUUGUUAAAGCGGGGGCUUCGCAAGAACCUCGCGCCUAAAGAGGAGCCUGCGGCGGAUUAGCUAGUUGGUGAGGUAAUGGCUCACCAAGGCAUCGAU
rnacentral:rRNA from 1 species